rnacentral:tRNA from 3 species
GCAUCUUUAGCUAAAUUGGUAUAGCAGUUGUCUUCGAAGCAAAAGUAUGAAGGUUCGAGUCCUUUAAGGUGUU